GCAUUGGUGGUGUGGUGAUAGAACUCUCUUUUUCCACAUGGGAUACCUGGGUUUGAUUCCUGGCCAAUGUA
rnacentral:tRNA from 1 species